rnacentral:lncRNA from 13 species
CCUCUUCUUCCUUCUGCUCCUUCACAACUAUUCACCUUCUCCCUUUUUCUCCUCCAGCCCUUCCUACACCUUUGUAACAAAUUCCUGCAUUAAAUCUCCUCUAUGUAAAAUAUCUCAGACGGUUCCUGUUUUCCUGGCUGGACCCUGAAGGAUGCAAUCACCAGCCCUCAAGAAUCUCUCUUCUCCUCUGAGGCCAACCCCAGUGCAGGCCAGAAGGGCACAUAUGUAAAGUGAGCACCUGGCAGCAGUAGUGCCCAUUACCAGCCUCUCCUGCCCUGCCAAAACCCCGAGCUAAGCUGCCUUCUAUCAGACACAGGCAAGAAAGGAGUGCUGUAGAAUCUUCAAGUUAACAUUUAACAAUCACAGCUGAUGAGGCCACACUGUGAGACAGAUCUAUGGCUUCAAUUUCUCACCAGUAUUUUAGUUCCCCAGGCUGGCUGUCAUGUAGCAGGUCUCACUGAGAGGACAUUAAGGGAUCCAUUUUUCAGAAGUUGACUUACAGGAGCAGAACUCCAUUUCCACAUAAUAUUUAUCAACAAAAACCCUCAAACAUGCUCCCACACCCCAGUCCCCUACCAGAUUUAACUACUAGACAGCACCCAUUUAUAAAUGAGCAAAUGAAAUCCUUCUCUUGGAUAAGAAGAGCAAGAAAAUUCUCUGCUGCAAAAAAAAGGCAUUAUAGGACUUCAAGAGCUCCCCUGCGAAAGAGACAGACUCUAGACAGGAUGUCUCUGCCAGCCCUGCCCUCUCCAGCUCAAGUUCCAGUCCUGAGAGUCUUCACAGAGUUCCCAGUAGCCCAGCAAACAGUGAGAGAGGCACAAAACAGGGAAAUGAGAAAGAGAGCAUCUCUGUUCACUCCUCCAGACUCAUGCACGACCACCUGCCAGGCCCUGGGGACCUGUCCUCCCAGCAUGAGGCAACCCUGAAGGACCAAGUCUACCAAGGACAUCUCCCAAGCUUUCCAGGACACCAGCCAGCCCCUUUGUGCAAGAGGAAAGAACUAUCCCAUGGGGAAUUCUUAACAGCUCUUUCCCCUCUGCCUGAGCAGAGAAAAAAAGAAAGGUAAACUAGACCAACAGCUGUGAGGACAGUCAUUUAGACCAGGUACUGACAGUCAAGAGCUGCUUUAAUCUU